rnacentral:rRNA from 1 species
GGCGGACGGGUGAGUAAUAUAUAGUUAACCUGCCCUCGAGAAAGGAAUAACAGUUGGAAACGACUGCUAAUGCCCUAUAUGCCUUUAAGACAUAAGUCUGCAAGGGAAAUGCUUUUGUGCUCGAGGAUGGGACUGUACGGUAUCAGAUAGUUGGCGGGGUAAUGGCCUACCAAGUCAAUGACGCCUAACUGGUUUGAGAGGAUGAUCAGUCACACUGGAACUGAGACACGGUCCAGACUCCUACGGGAGGCAGCAGUGGGGAAUAUUGCACAAUGGAGGAAACUCUGAUGCAGCAACGCCGCGUGGAGGAUGACACAUUUCGGUGCGUAAACUCCUUUUAUAUAGGAAGAUAAUGACGGUACUAUAUGAAUAAGCGCCGGCUAACUCCGUGCCAGCAGCCGCGGUAAUACGGAGGGCGCAAGCGUUACUCGGAAUCACUGGGCGUAAAGAGCGUGUAGGCGGAUAGAUAAGUCAGAAGUGAAAUCCUAUGGCUCAACCAUAGAACUGCUUUUGAAACUGUUUAUCUAGAGUGUGGGAGAGGUAGAUGGAAUUUCUGGUGUAGGGGUAAAAUCCGUAGAGAUCAGAAGGAAUACCGAUUGCGAAGGCGAUCUACUGGAACAUAACUGACGCUGAGACGCGAAAGCGUGGGGAGCAAACAGGAUUAGAUACCCUGGUAGUCCACGCCCUAAACGAUGUUCACUAGUUGUUGUGAGGCUUGACCUUGCAGUAAUGCAGUCAACACAUUAAGU